AUGAAGUCCCAAAAAGAAACUGAGCAAAUAUUACCUAAGUUGCAGUUUUCUAGGCUCUCUGAAUUGCAGAAAAGACCCGAAGAGUUGCUCCAAACUCAGGAGGAGUACAGAAUUUCUGAAAGGAGUAAGAAAUAUUUCCAACAUAAAAAGCAUCUUUCUUACUUGCAUCAUAUGUAUCAUCUUGCCUUUCUAAAUAUGGCAUCAUCUAAGAGACGGCUGGAGCAAAACCCCCAGUUUGCAGCUGUUGAAAAUGAGUACAGUGUCCAUGAUCUGAUGAAUUAUUUAUUUCCAAGUGAACAUAAAUCACCAUGUGCCACUGAGAGAGAGAUGGAGGAAAACAUAUUUCCAGGUUUGGCAGGAAGGAAACAGCAGGAACAGCAUUGCAAGAGAUCCUCCAAAGCACACAAAGUUUUCAAAGAAAUGAGAAAUGAAGAUAACGGAGGCACUGAAAUAGAAGUUUUUGAUGCAUCUUGCAGUCCAGAGGAUCAGAAAUUCAGGGUCAGUGCUUUAGCCCCACAUGAAAUGACCACUGUGCCUCUAACUCUUGAAGAUGUGGCUCUGAAACAUCCAGUGCUGGAAGCUAAAUCAGUUGUUACUUACUGGACUAAUUACGCAGAUGAAGAAGAAAUUCCCUAA
rnacentral:lncRNA from 1 species